UACAGAGGUCCCGAGCGUUGUUCGGAUUUACUGGGCGUAAAGGGCGCGUAGGCGGCUCGGCACGUCCGUUGUGAAAUCGCUCGGCUCAACUGGGCGAGGUCAGCGGAUACGGUCGAGCUUGAGCCAGCUAGGGGGCAAUGGAAUUCCCGGUGUAGUGGUGGAAUGCGUAGAUAUCGGGAGGAACACCAGUGGCGAAGGCGGUUGCCUGGGGCUGUGCUGACGCUGAUGCGCGAAAGCGUGGGGAGCGAACAGG
rnacentral:rRNA from 1 species